rnacentral:lncRNA from 1 species
AUGCUCCAACUUGUGGCAGAGCCGAGUGGCUCCGCGUCCACGCGUCCGUGCGUCCGUGCACCCUUGCUCUCCGACUCCGGCCGCAUUCCUGCUGAGCCGCCUCCGCCGCGGCAGGGAAUGCGGCCGGACAAAGGGCGCUGUGUGCCCAACUCCCCGCCUGCCACAUGUUUUCCCCUCCUCGCCGAACACCAAACAAAAUGCCCCCUUUCAGCUCGGGGUGGCCGGCACCCUCUGGCCCCCACCGCCCCGGCUGCCCGGCGCCCAUUGGCCCAAGGCCGGGGCACCGCCGGCACCGUUCGGCUCUGCUUGCUCUUAAACCUCGGCACCCAUCCUCCCGGCACCCUUCGGCACGGACCGCCGGGCCCCACGCACCGCCAGCCUUCCCAUGCGGCUCRGAGCCGGCCGGUAACAACAACCACCAUGUCGCAGGGCGCCCGGGACAGCGGGAGCCUCGUCUUCCUCGCGGUGCUCCUCGCAGCGCUGGGUGAGCGGCCGCUCCGGCGAGCAGCCCCGCGGCGGGGCAGGGAUGGGGGGUGGGCGCCGGGGCAUGGACUCCCAUCCCGUGCCGGCGAGCUGCAUCGGGUACCACGCCGGGGCCGAAAUCCCGGCUGUGGACGCGGGGCUGGAGCCUGGGUGCAGAGACGGGGACCAGGGCAGGAUGCUGGAGGGCAACGGAGGAAGCGGUCAGGGGAUUUGGGACCUCCGGACCAUCAGGACUGGGCUCCCAGGGUGGCCGUGGGGCCAGUGGCCACCCACGCAUCUGCCUUCGGGACCGUCACCGGUGGCGGCCAAGCUCUGGGGCCGUGGGGGUGUUCAGGACGGCGCGGUGCUUCCYGCCCUCUGGCCGCGCACGGUCCUAGUUGCYRCACGGGCYGGAUCCAGCCAAACCCCAGCAGGUGCCCAUGUCCCCUGGUCCCCAUCGCCAGGCUGUGCGAGGUCUCCAGCAAUAGCCACCUCCCUGGGGGGACGGGCCCUGCCGGUCCCCCGGCCAUGAGCCGAAAUCGAGCUGCGGUCCUCGGGGCGAUACCCUGGCGCACAACGUUUCCUUUGAGCGCCCCGGGGCGUCCCCUCGGCUGA